GAGAGCAAGUUACUUGUCAAAUACCUAUUUAUCAGGCAGCAUCAUGUCAUUUUAUUAGACACAUCAUUUUAAAUUUGGUGGAGAGCAAGGUUAAGACAAGCACAGCCACUUCAAAAAUGCUUUUGAAAGUGUUAACAUCAUAUAGUGUUCUCUUAUACCAGGAAAAAGAAUAUUGCCACUCAUCUUCAAGGCUCAAGCAUCAUUACUAUUUCAAAAGGUUGUAAAGUGUAGUU
rnacentral:misc_RNA from 1 species